rnacentral:rRNA from 1 species
AUACGGAGGACGCGAGCGUUAUCCGGAUUCAUUGGGUUUAAAGGGUGCGCAGGCGGCCGUGCAAGUCAGCGGUGAAAGCCCCGGGCUCAACCCCGGAAGUGCCGUUGAUACUGCGUGGCUGGAAUGCGGUCGAGGCGGGGGGAACGUGCCGUGUAGCGGUGAAAUGCGUAGAGAUGCCGAGGAACACCCAUGGCGGAGGCAACUUGCACGGCGAGUAUUGGCGUUCGGGCCCGAAAGCGUGGGGACCAAACAGGAUGAGAUACCCCGGUCGCCCAGGCCGUAAACGGUGGUCGCUAGGUGUAGGGAACUUCCACGAUUUGUGUGCCGUAGCUAAAGCGUUAAGGGACCCGCCUGGGGAGUACGGUCGCAAGGCUAAAACUUAAAGUAAUUGACGGGG